rnacentral:ncRNA from 1 species
GAGAGCCGUGUGAUGGGUAACUAUCUCGCAUGGUUCGGUGGGAGCUCAUGCUUGUUUAUCAAGACUAAUUAUAUUAUUAGUGAUAAGCACAGUUUUGUUCGACCCAAU